rnacentral:rRNA from 1 species
GACGAACGCUGGCGGCGUGCCUAACACAUGCAAGUCGAACGGAAAGGCCCUGCUCUUGUGGGGUGCUCGAGUGGCGAACGGGUGAGUAACACGCGAGUAACCUGCCCUUGACUUUGGGAUAACUUCAGGAAACUGGGGCUAAUACCGGAUAGGAGCUCCCGCUGCACGGUGGGGGUUGGAAAGUUUCGGCGGUUGGGGAUGGACUCGCGGCUUAUCAGCUUGUUGGUGGGGUAGUGGCUUACCAAGGCUUUGACGGGUAGCCGGCCUGAGAGGGUGACCGGCCACAUUGGGACUGAGGUACGGCCCAGACUCCUACGGGAGGCAGCAGUGGGGAGUAUUGCACAAUGGGCGGAAGCCAGAUGCAGCAACGCCGCGUGCGGAAAGACGGCCUUCGGGUUGUAAACCGCUUUCGCCUGUGACGAGGCGUGAGUGACGGUAAUGGGUAAAGAAGCACCGGCUAACUACGUG